ACACGGGGACGUCCCCGCAUCUCACGAUCCCGAUGCGGGGACGGCCCCG
rnacentral:ncRNA from 1 species